rnacentral:rRNA from 1 species
ACUUGGAAUCUUUGCUGAAAGCACCGGUUCUCGUCCAAUUACCGAAGUUAAGCAACAUCGAGCCUAGUUAGUACUUAGAUGGGUGACCGCUUGGAAAACCUAGGUGCUGUAAGCA